rnacentral:hammerhead_ribozyme from 1 species
UGCCAGCUGACGAGUCCCAAAUAGGACGAAACGCGCGUCCUGGAU